UAAUUUGAUAUCAUCCUAAUAUCAGUACAAUUAUAAGAGUGCGGCCUGGAUGAAAGCUAGCCUAGAUAUUAUCCCGUUCAAUUAAUUAAUUCAAUGGAUUUUGUUAACUGUUAGGAUAACACUGCCUGUAACAGCUGUUUGAAUGAAUGUUUAAGUCCUCUAAAAUGUAAUUUGACCACCGUAUUUGUAAUAACAAUAUGACG